UGGGGAAUAUUGGACAAUGGGGGAAACCCUGAUCCAGCGACGCCGCGUGUGUGAAGAAGGCCUGCGGGUUGUAAAGCACUUUUAGUGGGGAUGAAAAGCCGAAGGCUAAUACCUUUCGGUCUUGACCUAACCUACAGAAAAAGCACCGGCUAACUCUGUGCCAGCAGCCGCGGUAAUACAGAGGGUGCAAGCGUUAAUCGGAAUUACUGGGCGUAAAGCGUGCGUAGACGGUUAUGUAAGUCAGGUGUGAAAGCCCAGGGCUCAACCUUGGAAUUGCAUUUGAGACUGCAUAGCUAGGGUGCGGAAGAGGGAAGCGGAAUUUCCGGUGUAGCGGUGAAAUGCGUAGAUAUCGGAAGGAACACCAGUGGCGAAAGCGGCUUCCUGGUCCAGCACCGACGUUCAGGCACGAAAGCGUGGGGAGCAAACA
rnacentral:rRNA from 1 species